UUUUAGUUGCGAGUUUUGAAAGUCAAAUCUUAAAAAAUUGAGCUAAGCUAUAAUGGCGUACCUGUUUGCUUCAUAUUCCGACGUCCAUAAUUCCGUGUAGGUAAGGUGUGAUUACUAUUGGAGACUCUGGCCUUCCUAGUUCCACCGGCUAUGACUUCGCAAGUAUUUGUUUAGUAGCUGAGUUUUCGUGUUGACGAGGAUUUAUGGCAAAACGUUGUUAUGGGAAUACUCCUGACGGUAUAACUCCUCUUUCACCUUUACUGUACUUUACUUAUGCUCUGACAUCACGUGUGAAAUGAGUUCAUUCUCGCUCACAAGCGCACUUUUACAUUUAGGCACUUUUAGGUUUAAAUUUACUCACA